rnacentral:tRNA from 1 species
GCCCCAGUGGUCUAGUGGUUAAGAUUUGGCACUCUCACUGCCAUGGCCCGGGUUCACUUCCCAGUCAGGGAA